GGUGGUUCUCGGGUGACACACCCCAGAAUCCGGCUCCCUCCUCUCUGGUUCUGGGUGCAUCACCUGAAAAUCACA
rfam:Myotis davidii contig62707, whole genome shotgun sequence.